rnacentral:rRNA from 1 species
CCUACGGGCGGCAGCAGUGAGGAAUAUUGGUCAAUGGACGAGAGUCUGAACCAGCCAAGUAGCGUGAAGGAUGACUGCCCUAUGGGUUGUAAACUUCUUUUAUAUGGGAAUAAAAUGUUCCACGUGUGGGAUUUUGUAUGUACCAUAUGAAUAAGGAUCGGCUAACUCCGUGCCAGCAGCCGCGGUAAUACGGAGGAUCCGAGCGUUAUCCGGAUUUAUUGGGGUUAAAGGGAGCGUAGGUGGAUUGUUAAGUCAGUUGUGAAAGUUUGCGGCUCAACCGUAAAAUUGCAGUUGAAACUGGCAGUCUUGAGGACAGUAGAGGUGGGCGGAAUUCGUGGUGUAGCGGUGAAAUGCUUAGAUAUCACGAAGAACUCCGAUUGCGAAGGCAGUUCACUGGACUGCAACUGACACUGAGGCUCGAAAGUGUGGGUAUCAAACAGGAUUAGAUACCCGUGUAGUC